rnacentral:rRNA from 1 species
ACCACGCCACUGACGCUCAUGCACGAAAGCGUGGGUAUCGAACAGGAUUAGAUACCCUGGUAGUCCACGCGGUAAACGAUGAUAACUAGUUAUUCGCCCCGACUGGGGGGUGAGUGACCGAGCGAAAGCGUUAAGUUAUCCACCUGGGGAGUACGCCGGCAACGGUGAAACUCAAAGGAAUUGACGGGGGCCCGCACAAGCGGAGGAACAUGUGGUUUAAUUCGAUGAUACGCGAGGAACCUUACCCGGGCUCAAACGCAUCGCGCUACACCCUGAAAGGGGUGGUUCUUCGGACGCGAUGCGAGGUGCUGCAUGGUUGUCGUCAGCUCGUGCCGUGAGGUGUCGGCUUAAGUGCCAUAACGAGUGCAACCCCCAUCUUCAGUUGCCCCCGGGUGAUGCCGGGCACUCUGGAGAGACUGCCGGCGCAAGCUGUGAGGAAGGCGGGGAUGACGUCAAAUCAGCACGGCCCUUACGUCCGGGGCGACACACGUGUUACAAUGGCGGGGCUACAGAGGGGAGCCAGGCGGCGACGCCGAGCUGAUCCCGAAACCCGUCUCAGUUCGGAUCGGAGUCUGCAACCCGACUCCGUGAAGCUGGAUU